CUAAACGUGACUUUGACAAAAACUUUGUGAUAAUAUUGCAUUUACUAAUUGUUUUUAAAUAUGUCUGUCUGAGUGACAGGCUGUCACAGUUUCAACAGCAGGUGUCACUAGUGACAAAUGAAUGAAGCAUCGAGUGAUGCUCCAUGCUUCAUGAACUUUUGGGCAAAGCAAUGGGCCGGGAAGCUUCAUUGCUUCAUGAGGCUUCAUUUGGCCAUCACUACUGACAAGGAUGUGGUGUUUUCAAUCAGCCUCAUUGGGAAAAUCCAUUGUUUGAGAGAUAGGGGAGACGUUUUUGGGUUUUGUAUGAGCCCAGAUUGUUUUUGUUGUGAAGUUGUUAGUUGUAAUUAUGUAAAUAUUUUUCUAGGAAUAUAGUUUAGCACAAAUGUUUUUCCUAUCUGGAAAUGUAAAUGUUGUAACCGCCCCUUAAUUAGUCCUGGUAGGAGCCAAUGCUUUAAAAGCCAGGUGAUUUAGAUCAGAGGGAGACUCUCCUUCCUGUUUGAAUGCAUAUCAUGCUGUGAACUGGAAUGAAAUGUUUGAAGAACUGCAUAAAAAAAAAAUUCAGAGCUCUACAAUUUCUGGAUUUUGUCGGAUUUUCCAUUGCAAACCAACACUCAUAUAGUUAAGUUUGGUUUUUUCCAAUUUCCUCAGUAAAAAGUCUGUGAAUCUAAUGCUUAAUAGGCCCCAUUUGUUUCAGUAAGGAAGGGCUUUUGUUGAUCGAAUGAAGCUGCUCCAAUCUUUUGAAAUUUUGCUGGAAGUCUGUUAGUUUUUUGUUGUUUUUUUUUUUUUUGCUCUAAUCUUAUUCAAAUUAGCACAUUUUGCAAUUAUUUUAGCCCUAAUAUAUGCUGCAUCCCACAGAAUUGUAGGGCUAACUGUUCCAUUAUCAUCAAAUUCUAAGUAAUUUUUAAGCUCCUCUGUCAUUUCCGUUUUGAAUGCAGUACCAUUUAAUAAGCUUGUGUUGAGCCUCUGUAAAGUGUUUUUAGGGUUUCUAAUUAAAUUAAUUUUCAUAUUUAAACCAGAGUGAUCAGAAAUGUCUCUUUGUCCUAUUAUGCUAUCUGUAACUCUGUGAAGGUCCUUAUUGAACAUAAAAAAUAAUUAAUUCUAGUAUGUACGUUAUGCCUAAUGAAGUAAAAAGUUAAUCCAGUCCUGUCUUUUGGAAAUAUCUGCAUAUAUAUGGGAGUCCCAAUUCUUGCAAGAUUUUUGUUAUUGCUUUUCUAAGUGAGUCCUUCUUUAUGGAACCCUAUAGGGGAGAUGGGGAUUUUUUUUUCUUUUGUGUUCCCUUGCAAAAGGUUUUGUGUUCUCUCCCAAUAAUGUACUGGUCAAUUCAUGUGGCAUUAUUGAGUGCUGUAAGCCUUUAAUACAAAGUUAUGUAAGGUUUUUCCAUGACUGUUGAUAUCUUGUUGUGAAAAAUGCACCACAAACCUAUUGCUGAGUUUCAGACACGUGACCCGGCUGAUGAGCGAAAUUCAGAUGGAGGUCCAGAAGUGGAUUUCUCUGGUUCAAAAUAAAACAAAAUUGAUCACGAGUAGCAAAUGCUCUAAAUAGGCUGGAACAGACAAGAAAAAUUAUGCAUAUAUUUAGAAUAUGAUCAGUAUUAUCUCAGUAAAAAAGACUUGUCUUAUAAUCUUGAGGAUUAUAAAAUGUUACGUCAGACCACCUUUUUCAGUAACAAUUAAUCUAACGCGUUGCUAUUUCAAAUUCAGUAAUCAGACUGCAGUUAUUUAUUAAAAUAACUUUGCGUUACUGUGAGUUUUUAUUUUCUUUUGUAAUUUAAUUUUAUUUCCUCUAUGCGCCUUGGGGAGCGACCGCCGUUUCUAUGCGACAGUAUCAGCAGCAACAGAAAUGUGAGCAAUGGAGCGGAGAGAGAUUUUGUUACUGGAAAAACAGGAACUAUUUUGAGUUUCGGUCGCCAAGUUCGAUUACUAUAAGCAGGACGCUGGAUUCGGAUCCAAUGCAGGUCAACUAUUGGCACCAAUCUACAGAAACCCCAAGUUUGUGUCCAGACACGAACCGUGUAGAAGAAUAAUCACAGCCCACUGUGACUGUAUGGCUGGCUCUUCGCUUAACUCCCACAUGAAAAACACAACAGUCGUCACGGUUUUGUGAGACAGAACUGCGGAAAACAUUCAAAGACAUCUCACC